GACGAACGCUGGCGGCGUGCCUAAUACAUGCAAGUUGAGCGCUGAAGGUUGGUACUUGUACCAACUGGAUGAGCAGCGAACGGGUGAGUAACGCGUGGGGAAUCUGCCUUUGAGCGGGGGACAACAUUUGGAAACGAAUGCUAAUACCGCAUAAAAACUUUAAACACAAGUUUUAAGUUUGAAAGAUGCAAUUGCAUCACUCAAAGAUGAUCCCGCGUUGUAUUAGCUAGUUGGUGAGGUAAAGGCUCACCAAGGCGAUGAUACAUAGCCGACCUGAGAGGGGGAUCGGCCAAAUUGGGACUGAGACACGGCCCAAACUCCUCCGGGAGGCAGCAGAAGGGAAUCUUCGGCAAGGGCGGAAAGUCUGACCGGGCAACGCCGGUGGAGUGAAAAAGGUUUUCGGAUCUUAAAACCUUGUUGGUAGAGAAAAACGUUGGGGGGGGGGGAAAGCUCAUCAAGUGACGGUAACUACCCAGAAAGGGACGGCUAACUACGU
rnacentral:rRNA from 1 species